UACGAAGGGGGCUAGCGUUGCUCGGAAUUACUGGGCGUAAAGCGCACGUAGGCGGCUUUCUAAGUCGGGGGUGAAAUCCUGGAGCUCAACUCCAGAACUGCCUUCGAUACUGGAAAGCUCGAGUCCGGGAGAGGUGAGUGGAACUGCGAGUGUAGAGGUGAAAUUCGUAGAUAUUCGCAAGAACACCAGUGGCGAAGGCGGCUCACUGGCCCGGUAUUGACGCUGAGGUGCGAAAGCGUGGGGAGCAAACAGG
rnacentral:rRNA from 1 species